AUUGAACGCUGGCGGCAGGCUUAACACAUGCAAGUCGAGCGGAGAUGAGGUGCUUGCACCUUAUCUUAGCGGCGGACGGGUGAGUAAUGCUUAGGAAUCUGCCUAUUAGUGGGGGACAACAUUCCGAAAGGAAUGCUAAUACCGCAUACGCCCUACGGGGGAAAGCAGGGGAUCUGCGGACCUUGCGCUAAUAGAUGAGCCUAAGUCGGAUUAGCUAGUUGGUGGGGUAAAGGCCUACCAAGGCGACGAUCUGUAGCGGGUCUGAGAGGAUGAUCCGCCACACUGGGACUGAGACACGGCCCAGACUCCUACGGGAGGCAGCAGUGGGGAAUAUUGGACAAUGGGCGGAAGCCUGAUCCAGCCAUGCCGCGUGUGUGAAGAAGGCCUUUUGGUUGUAUAGCACUUUAAGCGAGGAGGAGGCUACCUGGAUUAAUACUCUAGGAUAGUGGACGUUGCUCGCAGAAUAAGCACCGGCUAACUCUGUGCCAGCCGCCGCCGUAACAC
rnacentral:rRNA from 1 species